rnacentral:rRNA from 1 species
CAGUCGCCGCGGGAAUACGAGGGGGGCAAGCGUUGUUCGGAAUUAUUGGGCGUAAAGGGCGCGUAGGCGGUUUGACAAGUCUUAUGUGAAAUCUUCGGGCUCAACUCGAAGUCUGCAUGGGAAACUGUCGGGCUUGAGUAUGGGAGAGGUGAGUGGAAUUUCCGGUGUAGCGGUGAAAUGCGUAGAUAUCGGAAGGAACACCUGUGGCGAAAGCGGCUCACUGGACCAUAACUGACGCUGAGGCGCGAAAGCUAGGGGAGCAAACAGGAUUAGAUACCCCCGUAGUCCCUGUCUCUUAUAC